CCUACGGGAGGCAGCAGUGAGGAAUAUUGGUCAAUGGACGAGAGUCUGAACCAGCCAAGUAGCGUGAAGGAUGACUGCCCUAUGGGUUGUAAACUUCUUUUAUAUGGGAAUAAAAUGUUCCACGUGUGUGAUUUUGUAUGUACCCUAUGAAUAAGGAUCGGCUAACUCCGUGCCAGCAGCCGCGGUAAUACGGAGGAUCCGAGCGUUAUCCGGAUUUAUUGGGUUUAAAGGGAGCGUAGGUGGAUUGUUAAGUCAGUUGUGAAAGUUUGCGGCUCAACCGUAAAAUUGCAGUUGAAACUGGCAGUCUUGAGUACAGUAGAGGUGGGCGGAAUUCGUGGUGUAGCGGUGAAAUGCUUAGAUAUCACGAAGAACUCCGAUUGCGAAGGCAGUUCACUGGACUGCAACUGACACUGAGGCUCGAAAGUGUGGGUAUCAAACAGGAUUAGAUACCCGAGUAGUC
rnacentral:rRNA from 1 species